AAUCUUCCGCAAUGGACGCAAGUCUGACGGAGCAACGCCGCGUGAACGAAGAAGGAUCUCGGAACGUCCCGUUCUGUUGUUAGGGAAGAACACGUACCGUUCAAAUAGGAUGGUACCUUGACGGUACCUAACGAGAAAGCCCCGGCUAACUACGUGCCAGCAGCCGCGGUAAUACGUAGGGGGCAAGCGUUGUCCGGAAUUAUUGGGCGUAAAGCGCUCGCAGGCGGUUUUUUAAGUCUGAUGUGAAAUCUUGCGGCUCAACCGCAAGCGGUCAUUGGAAACUGGAGAACUUGAGGACAGAAGAGGAGAGUGGAAUUCCACGUGUAGCGGUGAAAUGCGUAGAGAUGUGGAGGAACACCAGUGGCGAAGGCGACUCUCUGGUCUGUAACUGACGCUGAGGAGCGAAAGCGUGGGUAGCGAACA
rnacentral:rRNA from 1 species